UGUGCAAUAGCUCAAAAAAGA
rnacentral:piRNA from 1 species